rnacentral:misc_RNA from 1 species
GUUCGAGCGUCAUUAUCAACCCUCAAGCUCUGCUUGGUCUUGGGCGGUCACGUCUGUCGUGCGUCUCAAAAUCAGUGGCGGCGCCCUUGGGCUCCCAGCGUAGUAAUGCUCUCGCUCCGGAGGCUCCAGGUGCACCCGCCAGCAAUACUUUCACCUCCAAGGUUGACCUCGGAUCAGGUAGGGAUACCCGCUGAACUUAA